GCAAUAUGCGCCCGUUCUGGUCCGCGCGGUUCGCCGCGUGGUGAAAAGGGAACACGGUGCGGCGCCCGGUGCGCCAAGUCCGUGACUGCCCCCGCAACUGUAAGCGGAGAGCAGCGCCGACAACGCCACUGCGGACCCCCGCGGGAAGGCCGGUGACUGCGACGACCCGCGAGUCAGGAGACCUGCCGGAACGGCUCACCCGGU
rnacentral:ncRNA from 2 species